AACUCGCCUGCAUGAAGCUGGAAUUGCUAGUAAUCAUAGGUCAGCAUACUAUGGUGAAUACGUUCCCGGGCCUUGUACACACCGCCCGUCACACCAUGAGAGUUGAGAAUACCCGAAGUCCAUGUCAAAGUGGCCGAAGGUAGGCUUGAUGAUUGGGGUGAAGUCGUAACAAGGUAAC
rnacentral:rRNA from 1 species